rnacentral:rRNA from 1 species
CCUACGGGUGGCAGCAGUGAGGAAUAUUGGUCAAUGGGCGCGAGCCUGAACCAGCCAAGUAGCGUGAAGGAUGACUGCCCUACGGGUUGUAAACUUCUUUUAUAAGGGAAUAAAGUGAGGCACGUGUGCCGUUUUGUAUGUCCUUUAUGAAUAAGCAUCGGCUAACUCCGUGCCAGCAGCCGCGGUAAUACGGAGGAUCCGAGCGUUAUCCGGAUUUAUUGGGUUUAAAGGGAGCGUAGAUGGGUUGUUAAGUCAGUUGUGAAAGUUUGCGGCUCAACCGUAAAAGUGCAAUUGAGACUGGUAGUCUUGAGUACAGUUGAGGUAGGCGGAAUUCGUGGUGUAGCGGUGAAAUGCUUAGAUAUCACGAAGAACUCCGAUUGCGAAGGCAGCUUACUAAACUGCCACUGACAUUGAUGCACGAAAGUGUGGGUAUCAAACAGGAUUAGAUACCCCGGUAGUC